GAGAGUCUUCCGUCCUAAGAACCCAGAACUGUCAGGAUACGGCAACAGGGAACAACGCGAGGCCCCAGUACACUUGCCUCCCUGUUCUUUGCAUGAAAAUAAAGGGAAGCCGGGUGCAGACAGUGAAGACCCUGAUCUGAACCCCGUUUCCCAGCCUUUUCUGUGCUUCCUGCAGCACCGCCUGCAAAAGAAGUCAGCGCUCUGGCCGGCUCGAAGCCUAUGCGAGGCCUACAGCAGACUGUACCCAAUAGAAGCCAGCAGCCGGCCUUUCAGACUAAGAAAUAUACCCGUGAGUGGAUACAGAGUCUUGACGAUCCAGCGCCUCCCAGACCACCUCAACCACACUUCCCCACCAUCUCCCGCCUUCAGUUCCGAUAACCAUCGACUCUAGCGCUUUUCUGGAACACCAGUAUGAACCCCAGCUCAAAAUUUCGGCGAAAACUCAACAGAAAGCAUCUCCAGAUGUGACGUAUAGUUUCUGUUCUCUAGGAAGGAGCCCAGAGUCGAAGAACAAAAUUCAUCUUUUUUUUUCCUUCCACUCUUAAAGUUUCUCAGCUGUUUCUCUGCUAAUGCUCUUUACUGAAGUAAUCUGAUAAUUAAAAUCACUCUACUAAGUACUCCUAUCAUUUUA